rnacentral:rRNA from 1 species
GACAGAGGUGCCGAGCGUUAGGCGGAAUCACUGGGCUUAAAGCGUGUGUAGGCGGGCGGCCAAGUACCUUGUGAAAUCCCACGGCUCAACCGUGGAACUGCUGGGUAUACUGGUCGUCUUGAGCCAAUCAGGGGCGAGCGGAACAGACGGUGGAGCGGUGAAAUGCGUAGAUAUCAGGAGGAACACCUGUGGCGAAGGCGUCCAUCUGGCCCGUUACCGACGCUGAUGCGCGAAAGCUAGGGGAGCAAACGGG